GUGUCAGCCGCCGCGGUAAUACGUAUGGGGCAAGCGUUGUUCGGAUUUAUUGGGCGUAAAGGGCGUGUAGGCGGCUCAUCAAGUCUGGUGUGAAAUCGCAGGGCUUAACCCUGCAUAUGCGCUGGAAACUGGUGGGCUUGAGUUCUUGAGGGGAAGCUGGAAUUCCAGGUGUAGGGGUGAAAUCUGUAGAUAUCUGGAAGAACACCGGUGGCGAAGGCGAGCUUCUAUCAGAGGACUGACGCUGAGGCGCGAAAGCGUGGGGAGCAAACAGGAUUAGAAACCCUCGUAGUCC
rnacentral:rRNA from 1 species